rnacentral:rRNA from 1 species
UCCGGCGGCGAUACGGACGGGGAAACACCUGAUCCCAUUCCGAACUCAGCCGUUAAGCCCGUUUCGGCCGAUGAUAGUGCAACAAACGCGAAAGUAGGCGACCGCCGGGA